CUUACGGGCUGGGCUACACACGUGCUACAAUGGCGGUGACAAUGGGAUGCUAAGGGGCGACCCUUCGCAAAUCUCAAAAAGCCGUCUCAGUUCGGAUUGGAGUCUGCAACUCGACUCCAUGAAGUUGGAAUCGCUAGUAAUCGUGGAUCAGCAUGCCACGGUGAAUACGUUCCCGGGCCUUGUACACACCGCCCGUCACACCAUGGGAGUUGGUUCUACCUGAAGGCAGUGCGCUAACCCGCAAGGGAGGCAGCUGACCACGGUAGGGUCAGCGACUGGGGUGAAGUCGUAACAAGGUAACC
rnacentral:rRNA from 1 species